rnacentral:rRNA from 1 species
GGGUUGUGAGGUUAAGCGACUAAGCGUACACGGUGGAUGCCCUGGCAGUCAGAGGCGAUGAAGGACGUGCUAAUCUGCGAAAAGCGCCGGCGAGGUGAUAUGAACCUUUGACCCGGCGAUGUCCGAAUGGGGAAACCCAGUGUGAUUCGUCACACUAUCGUUAACUGAAUACAUAGGUUAACGAGGCGAACCGGGGGAACUGAAACAUCUAAGUACCCCGAGGAAAAGAAAUCAACCGAGAUUCCCCCAGUAGCGGCGAGCGAACGGGGAGCAGCCCAGAGUCUGAAUCAGCUUGUGUGUUAGUGGAAGCGUCUGGAAAGUCGCACGGUACAGGGUGACAGUCCCGUACACGAAAGCACACAGGUUGUGAACUCGAAGAGUAGGGCGGGACACGUGGUAUCCUGUCUGAAUAUGGGGGGACCAUCCUCCAAGGCUAAAUACUCCUGACUGACCGAUAGUGAACCAGUACCGUGAGGGAAAGGCGAAAAGAACCCCGGCGAGGGGAGUGAAAAAGAACCUGAAACCGUGUACGUACAAGCAGUGGGAGCACCUUCGUGGUGUGACUGCGUACCUUUUGUAUAAUGGGUCAGCGACUUAUAUUCUGUAGCAAGGUUAACCGUAUAGGGGAGCCGAAGGGAAACCGAGUCUUAACUGGGCGUUAAGUUGCAGGGUAUAGACCCGAAACCCGGUGAUCUAGCCAUGGGCAGGUUGAAGGUUGGGUAACACUAACUGGAGGACCGAACCGACUAAUGUUGAAAAAUUAGCGGAUGACUUGUGGCUGGGGGUGAAAGGCCAAUCAAACCGGGAGAUAGCUGGUUCUCCCCGAAAGCUAUUUAGGUAGCGCCUCGUGAACUCAUCUUCGGGGGUAGAGCACUGUUUCGGCUAGGGGGCCAUCCCGGCUUACCAACCCGAUGCAAACUACGAAUACCGAAGAAUGUUAUCACGGGAGACACACGGCGGGUGCUAACGUCCGUCGUGAAGAGGGAAACAACCCAGACCGCCAGCUAAGGUCCCAAAGUCAUGGUUAAGUGGGAAACGAUGUGGGAAGGCACAGACAGCCAGGAUGUUGGCUUAGAAGCAGCCAUCAUUUAAAGAAAGCGUAAUAGCUCACUGGUCGAGUCGGCCUGCGCGGAAGAUGUAACGGGGCUAAACCAUGCACCGAAGCUGCGGCAGCGACGCUUAUGCGUUGUUGGGUAGGGGAGCGUUCUGUAAGCCGUUGAAGGUGUGCUGUGAGGCAUGCUGGAGGUAUCAGAAGUGCGAAUGCUGACAUAAGUAACGAUAAAGCGGGUGAAAAGCCCGCUCGCCGGAAGACCAAGGGUUCCUGUCCAACGUUAAUCGGGGCAGGGUGAGUCGACCCCUAAGGCGAGGCCGAAAGGCGUAGUCGAUGGGAAACAGGUUAAUAUUCCUGUACUUGGUGUUACUGCGAAGGGGGGACGGAGAAGGCUAUGUUAGCCGGGCGACGGUUGUCCCGGUUUAAGCAUGUAGGCGGAACGAUUAGGUAAAUCCGGUCGUUUAUUAACGCUGAGGUGUGAUGACGAGGCACUACGGUGCUGAAGUAACAAAUGCCCUGCUUCCAGGAAAAGCCUCUAAGCAUCAGGUAACAUCAAAUCGUACCCCAAACCGACACAGGUGGUCAGGUAGAGAAUACCAAGGCGCUUGAGAGAACUCGGGUGAAGGAACUAGGCAAAAUGGUGCCGUAACUUCGGGAGAAGGCACGCUGAUAUGUAGGUGAAGCCCCUGCGGGUGGAGCUGAAAUCAGUCGAAGAUACCAGCUGGCUGCAACUGUUUAUUAAAAACACAGCACUGUGCAAACACGAAAGUGGACGUAUACGGUGUGACGCCUGCCCGGUGCCGGAAGGUUAAUUGAUGGGGUUAGCGGUAACGCGAAGCUCUUGAUCGAAGCCCCGGUAAACGGCGGCCGUAACUAUAACGGUCCUAAGGUAGCGAAAUUCCUUGUCGGGUAAGUUCCGACCUGCACGAAUGGCGUAAUGAUGGCCAGGCUGUCUCCACCCGAGACUCAGUGAAAUUGAACUCGCUGUGAAGAUGCAGUGUACCCGCGGCAAGACGGAAAGACCCCGUGAACCUUUACUAUAGCUUGACACUGAACACUGGUCCUUGAUGUGUAGGAUAGGUGGGAGGCUUUGAAGUGUGGACGCCAGUCUGCAUGGAGCCGUCCUUGAAAUACCACCCUUUAAUGGCUGGUGUUCUAACGUAGACCCGUGAUCCGGGUUGCGGACAGUGUCUGGUGGGUAGUUUGACUGGGGCGGUCUCCUCCCAAAGAGUAACGGAGGAGCACGAAGGUUAGCUAAUCCUGGUCGGACAUCAGGAGGUUAGUGCAAUGGCAUAAGCUAGCUUGACUGCGAGAGUGACGGCUCGAGCAGGUGCGAAAGCAGGUCAUAGUGAUCCGGUGGUUCUGAAUGGAAGGGCCAUCGCUCAACGGAUAAAAGGUACUCCGGGGAUAACAGGCUGAUACCGCCCAAGAGUUCAUAUCGACGGCGGUGUUUGGCACCUCGAUGUCGGCUCAUCACAUCCUGGGGCUGAAGUAGGUCCCAAGGGUAUGGCUGUUCGCCAUUUAAAGUGGUACGCGAGCUGGGUUUAGAACGUCGUGAGACAGUUCGGUCCCUAUCUGCCGUGGGCGCUGGAGAAUUGAGGGGGGCUGCUCCUAGUACGAGAGGACCGGAGUGGACGCAUCACUGGUGUUCGGGUUGUCAUGCCAAUGGCACUGCCCGGUAGCUAAAUGCGGAAAAGAUAAGUGCUGAAAGCAUCUAAGCACGAAACUUGCCCCGAGAUGAGUUCUCCCUGAGACUUUAAGUCUCCUGAAGGAACGUUGAAGACGACGACGUUGAUAGGUCGGGUGUGUAAGCGCAGCGAUGCGUUUAGCUAACCGAUACUAAUGAACCGUGAGGCUUAACCUUACAACGCCGAAGGUGUUU